ACAGAAUGAACAGCAAACAAAUAUUGAACAGGAAGUAUCACUGGACCUGAUUUUAGUAGAAGAGUAUGACUCAUUAAUAGAGAAGAUGAGCAACUGGAAUUUUCCAAUUUUUGAACUUGUAGAAAAGAUGGGAGAGAAAUCAGGAAGGAUUCUCAGUCAGGUUAUGUAUACCUUAUUUCAAGACACUGGUUUAUUGGAA